rnacentral:rRNA from 1 species
CGCAAGAUUAAAACUCAAAUGAAUUGACGGGGGCCCGCACAAGCGGUGGAGCAUGUGGUUUAAUUCGAUGCAACGCGAAGAACCUUACCUACUCUUGACAUCCAGAGAAGCCAGCGGAGACGCAGGUGUGCCUUCGGGAGCUCUGAGACAGGUGCUGCAUGGCUGUCGUCAGCUCGUGUUGUGAAAUGUUGGGUUAAGUCCCGCAACGAGCGCAACCCUUAUCCUUGUUUGCCAGCACGUAAUGUCGGGAACUCCAGGGAGACUGCCGGUGAUAAACCGGAGGAAGGUGGGGACGACGUCAAGUCAUCAUGGCCCUUACGAGUAGGGCUACACACGUGCUACAAUGGCGCAUACAGAGGGCGGCCAACUUGCGAAAGUGAGCGAAUCCCAAAAAGUGCGUCGUAGUCCGGAUUGGAGUCUGCAACUCGACUCCAUGAAGUCGGAAUCGCUAGUAAUCGUGGAUCAGAAUGCCACGGUGAAUACGUUCCCGGGCCUUGUACACACCGCCCGUCACACCAUGGGAGUGGGCUGCAAAAGAAGUGGGUAGUUUAACCUUUGGGAGGACGCUCU